ACAUCAACAGGGAGCUUUGCCUAGAACACUGUGACCUAAAAAAUCAUAUUAAGGAACUCAGAAUGCAGAGUCAGUCUCAGAGACACCAAGUGACCUUGUGCAAGGCACCUUGCAGACUGCCUUGCCUACUUGACUCCCCUAAUGAAUGGUGACUGCCUCGGCCACCCGCCUCCCCUCAACUGCAAUUGUACUAAAAAGCUUCCAGAAGGCCCACUACCUACAGAAACUUCUGGAAGGCCAAGUACCCUAAUACAGCUGUGCAUCCAACAACCUUCUCCAGGUUCGGUCAGACUCAAUUCUGGUUCCCCAUUAGGCCUCAGGUCCUACCCACAGUCUGGGGGCUGGAGAGGCUAAUCUCAAAGGGCUAGAAAUGAGUCAGUUUCCACACUCACCUUCAGGUGUGUGGCUUCCUGAAGCACAGACGAGGAAGCUCUAAAUUUCAGAGUGAUUUUUUUUUCUUUGCAUACCAUAUCCGGAACUGAAACCACCAAUUCAUUUCACUUAAGCCCUCACACACUACACUCAGAUCAUCAAUAACAUUCCAGAGAUAAGAUACCAAGACUUCAUCAACCAUUCCUUCUGUCUCUUCUCCUCUUUUUUUCUUUCGGUGGUGAUGUUGUUAGCAUCUUUUCUUCUUCCUCUUCUUCUUCUUCUUCUCCUCCUCCUGACAACACAGGAUUUGGAGGUCUUUGUUUUCUUCACGAAGAAUUGUUUAUGAGAAUUGGGAGCCAAAUAUCUAAAGCUCUGCUAAGAGUUUGGCCUUACUCAUAACUUUCUGCUUUCCCUUGCUAGUCAACUUGGCUGCGUGUGAGUGUAAAGUCAUUGACUCAGGGUCCCAUUCCAGAGGGUAACUGACUUUGCCACGAGCUUCCACACAUGGGUCACCUCACUAACCCAUGAAAGUGGAUAAAAGAUGGGGCCUGGGGAGAGAUUCAUGCAAAGCGUGUUCACAGAACAGGAGAGCAGUGGAAAACACGAGUACCCUACUAAUGCCAGCCAAAGCAUCAACACAUUAGAAGAAGGAAGGGCCCCUACCAUUUAUAUAGUACCUUACAAUUUAUAAACCACUUUCACAUCCUUUCUCUCUCCUGAUUCUCAC
rnacentral:lncRNA from 1 species